AUGAGAGUGAUUCAGAGUAUCAACUAGAAGAGGAGGAAGAGUCUGGUUCAGAAGGAAAAGGAGAUGAUCAAGCUAUUUUUUGUUCCAAUAGCUAUUUUGAGUCCUUCUAAACUUGUAGAUACUAGUAGAAAGAUGCAAGCUGGUAACAAAAAGAUUCACGCAGAAUACAGUGGUACCAGUUCUUGGGAGGUUGAAGACUUAGCAAAUUCAGAAGAUGAGGAGGCCAAGCAGUAUAGAAGAAAUGCCAAUAUAGUGAACAAAGGGAUCAAAG
rnacentral:lncRNA from 1 species